rnacentral:rRNA from 1 species
CCCUUAGAUGUUCUGGGCCGCACGCGCGCUACACUGACUGACUCAACGAGUUUACAACCUGUGCCGAAAGGUAUGGGUAAUCUUUUGAAAUUCAGUCGCGAUGGGGCUAGAUUAUUGCAACUAUUAAUCUUCAACGAGGAAUGCCUAGUAAGCGCGAAUCAUCAGUUCGCGUUGAUUACGUCCCUGCCCUUUGUACACACCGCCCGUCGCUCCUACCGAUUGAAUGGUCCGGUGAAAUCUCGGGACGGCGGCUUGGUCGCUUGCGUCCGACUGCUGAAACUUGAUUAAACCAUAUCAUUUAGAGGAAGGUGAAGUCGUAACA